GUUCGAUUGACUUUGUAGUGUGCUUAAAUUAGUGAAAAAUCUUUGCAAACUUUCACUGUUUAUUUUGUGGUGCAACAAAUUGAUUUAUUAUUUCUGAUUAUGGCAAAUCGUAGCAAAGCUUAAAACUAACAAGUUUGUUUGUGUUCCGUGGUGUAUAACUUAUAAAUGGCACAACGUUGCAAAAAGCAACUUAUGAGCUCCCACACGCUGCACUUCUCGAAGUUUGGGAGAAAAACAGGCGCUCGGAAGAUGCUCUAAGAAGCU